GAUGAACGCUGGCGGCGUGCCUAAUACAUGCAAGUCGAGCGAACAGACGAGGAGCUUGCUCCUCUGACGUUAGCGGCGGACGGGUGAGUAACACGUGGAUAACCUACCUAUAAGACUGGGAUAACUUCGGGAAACCGGAGCUAAUACCGGAUAACAUGUUGAACCGCAUGGUUUAACAGUGAAAGACGGUCUUGCUGUCACUUAUAGAUGGAUCCGCGCCGCAUUAGCUAGUUGGCAAGGUAACGGCUUACCAAGGCAACGAUGCGUAGCCGACCUGAGAGGGUGAUCGGCCACACUGGAACUGAGACACGGUCCAGACUCCUACGGGAGGCAGCAGUAGGGAAUCUUCCGCAAUGGGCGAAAGCCUGACGGAGCAACGCCGCGUGAGUGAAGAAGGUCUUCGGAUCGUAAAACUCUGUUAUUAGGGAAGAACAAAUGUGUAAGUAACUAUGCACGUCUUGACGGUACCUAAUCAGAAAGCCACGGCUAACUACGUG
rnacentral:rRNA from 1 species